rnacentral:siRNA from 1 species
GAAGGACUGUACUAAGAACAUCA